rnacentral:rRNA from 1 species
GACGAAGGAUGCAAGCGUUAUCCGGAUUCAUUGGGUUUAAAGGGCGCGUAGGUGGCCUGGUAAGUCAGUGGUGAAAUCUCUCGGCUUAACCGAGAAAUUGCCAUUGAUACUGUUAGGCUUGAGUAUAGUAGCCGUUGGCGGAAUAUGACAUGUAGUGGUGAAAUACAUAGAGAUGUCAUAGAACACCGAUUGCGAAGGCAGCUAACGAAACUAUAACUGACACUGAGGCUCGAAAGUGCGGGGAUCAAACAGG